rnacentral:rRNA from 1 species
GAUGAACGCUGGCGGCGUGCCUAAUACAUGCAAGUCGAGCGAACGGACGAGAAGCUUGCUUCUCUGAUGUUAGCGGCGGACGGGUGAGUAACACGUGGAUAACCUACCUAUAAGACUGGGAUAACUUCGGGAAACCGGAGCUAAUACCGGAUGAUAUUUUGAACCGCAUGGUUCAAAAGUGAAAGACGGUCUUGCUGUCACUUAUAGAUGGAUCCGCGCUGCAUUAGCUAGUUGGUAAGGUAACGGCUUACCAAGGCAACGAUGCAUAGCCGACCUGAGAGGGUGAUCGGCCACACUGGAACUGAGAAACGGUCCAGACUCCUACGGGAGGCAGCAGUAGGGAAUCUUCCGCAAUGGGCGAAAGCCUGACGGAGCAACGCCGCGUGAGUGAUGAAGGUCUUCGGAUCGUAAAACUCUGUUAUUAGGGAAGAACAUAUGUGUAAGUAACCGUGCACAUCUUGACGGUACCUAAUCAGAAAGCCACGGCUAACUACGUG